rnacentral:rRNA from 1 species
UACGGAGGGUGCGAGCGUUGCUCGGAAUCACUGGGCGUAAAGCGUACGCAGGCUGUCUCGUAAGUCGGGUGUGAAAGCCCGGGGCUCAACCCCGGAAUUGCGCCCGAGACUGCGGGGCUUGAAUGCGGGAGAGGGAAGCGGGAAUUCCUGGUGUAGAGGUGAAAUUCGUAGAUAUCAGGAGGAACACCGGUGGCGAAAGCGGCUUCCUGGCCCGACAUUGACGCUCAUGUACGAGAGCGUGGGGGAGCAAACAGG